GCCUCAUUGGCUCAGUGGCAAAGCGUCUGUCUAGUAAACAGAAGGUCGCUGGUUCGAUUCCAGCAUGAGGCA
rnacentral:tRNA from 1 species